UACGUAGGGUGCGAGCGUUGUCCGGAAUUAUUGGGCGUAAAGGGCUCGUAGGCGGUCUGUCGCGUCUGCCGUGAAAGUCCGGGGCUCAACUCCGGAUCUGCGGUGGGUACGGGCAGACUAGAGUGAUGUAGGGGAGGCUGGAAUUCCUGGUGUAGCGGUGAAAUGCGCAGAUAUCAGGAGGAACACCGAUGGCGAAGGCAGGUCUCUGGGCAUUAACUGACGCUGAGGAGCGAAAGCGUGGGGAGCGAACAGG
rnacentral:rRNA from 1 species